rnacentral:rRNA from 1 species
UACGGAAGGCAGCAGUGGGGAAUAUUGCACAAUGGGCGAAAGCCUGAUGCAGCUAUGCCGCGUGUAUGAAGAAGGCCUUAGGGUUGUAAAGUACUUUCAUCGGGGAGGAAAAAACAAAACUAAUAAUUUUAUUUCUUGACGUUACCCGAAAAAGAAGCACCGGCUAACUCCGUGCCAGCAGCCGCGGUAAUACGGAGGGUGCUAGCGUUAAUCAGAAUUACUGGGCGUAAAGAGCACGUAGGUGGUUUUUUUAAGUCAGAUGUGAAAUCCCUGGGCUUAACCUAGGAACUGCAUUUUGAAACUGAAAUACUAGAGUAUCGUAGAGGGAGGUAGAAUUCUAGGUGUAGCGGUUGAAAUGCGUAGAUAUCUGGAGGAAUACCUGUGGCGAAAGCGGCCUCCUAAACGAAUACUGACACUGAGGUGCGAAAGCGUGGGGAGCAAACAGGGACUUAGAUACC